CAGAUGCCCUAAGGUUAACUCAAAGAGAACAGAAAUCUCUUGUAGACCGAAAGGAGAAAAGUUAGCAUUAUUCGGAUUUGUAUCAUCAAUAAGAAUUGCGAAAGCAUGGCCUAUCGAUCCUUUAAGCCCAGAAAGAUUCUGGCUAGAGGUGACGGAAAAGUUACCACAGGGAUAACUGGCUUGUGGCAGCCAAGCGUUCAUAGCGACGUUGCUCUUUGAUCCUUCGAUGUCGGCUCUUCCUAUCAUUGAGUUGCAGAAGUCUCAAAGUGUCGGAUUGUUCACCCGUUAAUAGGGAACGUGAGCUGGGUUUAGACCGUCGUGAGACAGGUUAGUUUUAUCCUACUUAUACACGCAUCAAAAGAGUUAAUCAACUUAGUACGAGAGGAACCGUUGAUUCAAACCGCUGGUUAAGCGUUUGACUGUAAAGUCAAAGACGCAAAGCUACGUUUGAUGGAUAAUGACUGAACGCCUCUAAGUCAAAAUCCUAACUUGUGAAAAGAUGUAUUAGUC
rnacentral:ncRNA from 1 species